GCCUCGGUAGCUCAGCUCGGUAGAGCGACGGUCUCGUAAACCGUAGGUCCCGGGAUCAAAGCCCGGCCGAGGCU
rnacentral:tRNA from 1 species